rnacentral:rRNA from 1 species
UACAUGGGGGUGCAAACGUUGCUCGGAAUCAUUGGGCGUAAAGCGCGCGUAGGCGGUUACUUAUGUCGGAUGUGAAAGCCCUCGGCUUAACUGAGGAAGUGCAUUCGAAACUGGGUAGCUAGAGUACUAAAGAGGGUCGCGGAAUUCCCGGUGUAGAGGUGAAAUUCGUAGAUAUCGGGAGGAACACCGGUGGCGAAGGCGGCGACCUGGGUAGAUACUGACGCUGAGGCGCGAAAAGCGUGGGGGAGCAAACAGG